rnacentral:rRNA from 1 species
GAUGAACGCUGGCGGCGGGCCUAAUACAUGCAAGUCGAGCGAACAGACGAGGAUCUUGCUCCUCUGACGUUAGCGGCGGACGGGUGAGUAACACGUGGAUAACCUACCUAUAAGACUGGGAUAACUUCGGGAAACCGGAGCCAAUACCGGAUAAUAUAUUGAACCGCAUGGUUCAUUAGUGAAAGACGGAUUUGCUGUGACUUAUAGAUGGAUCCGCGCCGCAUUAGCUAGUUGGUAAGGUAACGGCUUACCAAGGCGACGAUGCGUAGCCGACCUGAGAGGGUGAUCAGCCACACUGGAACUGAGACACGGUCCAGACUCCUACGGGAGGCAGCAGUAGGGAAUCUUGCGCAAUGGGCGAAAGCCUGACGGAGCAACGCCGCGUGAGUGAUGAAGGUCUUCGGAUCGUAAAACUCUGUUAUUAGGGAAGAACAAAUGUGUAAGUAACUAUGCACGUCUUGACGGUACCUAAUCAGAAAGCCACGGCUAACUACGUG